AAACAGAGCUUCCUGACGCGUUUUGGACCUCCAGGUCCUAAACAUAAGAUUCUUAUGUUUAAGGACCUAGAGGUCCAAAAUGCGUAAGGAAGUUCUGUUUUAUGUUUUUGU